CGGGGCUCAGACUCACAAACCAUGAGAUCAUGACCCGAGCCGAAGUCAGAUGCCUAACCGACUGAGCCACCCAGGUGCCCCUAGUCAACUGUAGUUCUAACAGGUUGGGGGGUCACCCUUAGGGAUCAGCGGCAUUGGUAGAGCAUGUGUGCAUGUGACCUUUUAUCACAGAUGACACUCUGCUCAGCUCAUAAUAACUCCAAGGUGACAGACAGCUCAGACUAGACUCUCUUGCUACUUUCCUUCAUUAUGAGCAGAGUGUCGGUUGUAGCUUAAAGCUGCAGGAUUGUUUCCACACGAGAGCAUCGGCCUGUAACAUCUGCAACCAGGAUGCCUUCUUUCUACCUGAGAACCCUGGCUUCUAAUGGGAAAGGAAGUUGGAUGGAGCUCAUCUGGUAACAUGCCUUUGGAAAGGACAUAGAAGAGGCUCAAGACUCAAUCCGAAGAACAGGAAAACCUCAUGAAAUUAACAGAAGAUUUAGAGAAGUCACCUUCGUAAAGUGCUGUAUCUCAUGGGAACACAGUUUGGAAUAGCUGUUGGUGAAGCAGGACAGCAAAUACAGUUGGGAUGCUGUUUCUCAAAACUGAGGCUUCUGUUCUCAUCAGUAACUGCAUACCUGGACCGAAAGCUCCUUCCUCAAGCCUGAAAAUGCAUUUUUCUUACCAGACAAAAAUACAAAAAGGGAAGAGGGGUGGACCUGAAAAUGUUCCUUCACAACUAACUAGCAACUUGGAACUCUCACAGGACGGAGCAAUCGCAGUCCGUGGACAGCAUUUACCAUUGGGAACAGAAACUUAAUUUGUCAAUUCACUGGCGGCAACUCAAACUUGGGAAAUAACAUGAGUUUGGAGAUUCAUAUUUUAUUUACAAGUAAAUGAAGAAUGUCUCCUGUGAACGCUAAUUUGGAACAAGAACAACAUAAAGAAGUAGUUGCUGGCUCCACAGUGACGUGUGAAAGGAGUCCUUGCUACUGGUUUUUCUUAAACAAUGAUUUUGUCAUUAAAAAGGAAAAAAAACAACAAAGCCAUGUGAUUUCUUCAUGUUGCACACGCGAAAGAAUUCAAAAUAAAAAUGACUUUCCAAACUCUA